rnacentral:rRNA from 1 species
UCUACGGGUGGCUGCAGUGGGGAAUAUUGGACAAUGGGCGAAAGCCUGAUCCAGCCAUGCCGCGUGUGUGAAGAAGGCCUUCGGGUUGUAAAGCACUUUCAGUGGGGAAGAAAGCCUUGGGGCUAAUACCCUCGAGGAAGGACAUCACCCACAGAAGAAGCACCGGCUAACUCCGUGCCAGCAGCCGCGGUAAUACGGAGGGUGCGAGCGUUAAUCGGAAUUACUGGGCGUAAAGCGCGCGUAGGCGGUCUGAUAAGCCGGUUGUGAAAGCCCCGGGCUCAACCUGGGAACGGCAUCCGGAACUGUCAGGCUAGAGUGCAGGAGAGGAAGGUAGAAUUCCCGGUGUAGCGGUGAAAUGCGUAGAGAUCGGGAGGAAUACCAGUGGCGAAGGCGGCCUUCUGGACUGACACUGACGCUGAGGUGCGAAAGCGUGGGUAGCAAACAGGAUUAGAUACCCCGGUAGU